rnacentral:rRNA from 1 species
GUGGUCAAGCUAGAAAGGGCGCAUGGGGGAUGUCUAGGCGUCAGGAGGCUGUGAAGGGCGCGGAAGACUGCGAUAAGCCCGGGGUAACCGUCAAACAGGUGAUGAUCCCGGGAUUCCCGAACUGACCGUGACUGAAUCCAUAGGUCACGGUGGCAAACGCGGUGAACUGAAACAUCUCAGUAACCGCAGGAGUAGAAAGAAAAAUCGAUUUCCUCAGUAGCGGCGAGCGAAAGGGAAACAGCCCAAACCGAGGUGGUUUCCACUUCGGGGUUGUAGGGCCCCCGAGGAGUUACAAACAACAGGCUAGCGGAACGAUCUGGAAAGGUCGUCCACAGAGGGUGACAGGCCCGUACGCGAAAGCCGAGUUGCUCCGUUGAGGGGGUACCCUGAGUAGGUCGAGUCACGUGGAACCUCGACUGAAUCUACGGGGACCAUCCCGUAAGGCUAAAUACUCCCUGACGACCGAUAGUGAACAAGUAGCGCGAGCGAAAGAUGAGAAGAACCCCUGUUAGGGGAGGAAUGUGAACCUGAAACCAUGUGCCUACAAGCGGUCGGAGCGCUAUGGCGUAAGCAAUGCGUGACGGCGUGCCUUUUGCAUAAUGAUCCGGCGAGUUACCGUCAGCGGCUCGGUUAAGGCCCUCAGGGCCGAAGCCACAGGGAAACCGAGUCUGAAUAGGGCGACUUAUGGUCGCUGGUGGUAGACGCGAAACUGCACGAACUACCCAUGAGCAGGUUGAACCGCGGGUCAAACCGCGUGGAGGACCGAACCCACUUGGGUUGAAAACCGAGGGGAUGACUUGUGGGGAGGAGUGAAAGUCUAAUCAAGCGCAGAGAUAGCUCGUUCUCUCCGAAAUAGCUUGAGGGCUAGCCUCGGAACAUUGCACGGCGGGGGUAGAGAGACUGAAUUGGAUGAAGGCCCUUCCCGGGUACUUCACCGAACCAAACUCCGAAUACCGCUCGUGUGUACUCCGGGAGUCAGUCCGCGAGGGAUAAGCUUCGCGGUCGAGAGGGAAACAACCCAGACCACCUGCUAAGGUCCCCAAGCAGUACUCAGUCACUAAGGAAGUAGAGUUGCCGUGACAGCCAGGAUGUUGGCUUAGAAGCAGCCAUCAUUUAAAAAGUGCGUAACAGCUUACUGGUCGAGCAACUCUGCGCCGAUAAUGAACGGGAGUAAGUACUGCACCGAAGCAGUGGAAUGCACCUAGUGCAUUGGUAGGAGAGCGCUGUACGUCAGAUACAAGUCGCACCGCAAGGAGCGAUGUCGGGGCGUACAGGUGAUUAUGCCGGAAUGAGUAACGAUAAAGCAGGUGAGAAUCCUGCUCGCCGAAAGCCUAAGGUUUCCUGGGGAAGGUAAAUCCGCCCAGGGUUAGCCGGUUCCUUAGUCGAGGCCGAAAGGCGUAGACGAUGGACAGCAGGUCAACAUUCCUGCGCCACAUGCUGGACCGAUGGAGGGACGGCGUCUGGAAGGUGAGGGGACGGAUAGAAAUGUCCCUCGCCGGUGUGGAAGGUAGCUGUAGGAAAAUCCGCAGCGACAUCCGGAAGCAUCGGACAAAGACGCUUAUGUUUCGAUAGUCAUCCGAAGGACGUCCAAGAAAAGCUUCUAGGGUUGAAGGCAUGUGACCGUACUAAAACUGACACAGGUAGGCGGGACGAGAAGUCCUAGGCGCUCGGGAGAACACUGGUUAAGGAACUCUGCAAAAUGGCCCCGUAAGUUCGCGAUAAGGGGUGCCCCCCGUGGUUCACGC